rnacentral:rRNA from 1 species
UACAGAGGGGGCAAGCGUUGUCCGGAUUUACUGGGCGUACAGCGCGCGCAGGCGGGUGGUGACGUGCCGUGUGACAAGCCGCAGCUUAACUGCGGAGGGCCAUGGUAGACGCACCGCCUGGAGGCAGGGAGAGGGAUGUGGAAUACCCGGUGGAGCGGUGAAAUGCGUAGAGAUCGGGUGGAACACCAGCGGCGAAGGCGGCAUCCUGGUCCUGACCUGACGCUGAGGCGCGAGAGCGUGGGGAGCGAACCGG